UAGUUGUGCAGGAAAGUACCUCAUUCUUCAGGAUGACUUCUCAUCUCGUAGGAUUUUAAAUCCCUGUUAAACAAUCAUGGGAGAUGGCUUGCUCCUCCAUGAGCUCGGAUCUGGAGGUUUCUUCCUGUUAAAAGGCAGUUCUUCCUUCCCACUGUCACCAAGUGCUUGCUCAUAGAGGGCUUUCUAAUUGUUGGGUUUUUUUCUAACAUUGUGGGGUCUUUACCCUACAAUAUAAAGCACCUUGAUAUGAUUGUUGCUCUGAAUUGGCACUGUAAAUGCAAACUGGGAUUUGAAAUGUCCCAGAGCAAUCUGUAGUUUCAGGGUUACCACAUUCAGUAUUCACUAAUUGCUGCAUUUUGCCAUAAGUGUGCUUAAAAACAUAUUCUGACAAAUGUUUGUUUCUGCAAGCCGGACUCAGUUGAAGCUGUGGUGGAGAGGAGGUGGUGUUCUAUUGGAUUAAGAUCAGGUGAUUGUUGAGUGCAUUUGAGUGGCGUUGUUGUUGUCAUGCUCAAGAACCCAGUCUGAGAUGAUGCGAUGGUGCCACAGUGAUGACAACUUGUUAUUUCCACAAACUGUAAAACCAAAGAUGGAUGGAGCUCCCGGGUCUGAAAAGUGAAGUUAAUUUCUUCCUGGAAGGCCAGCAGGGGGCGACUCUUCUGCUUCACUGGAGAGUUCAGUUGUAUGGACGUCUAUAGGAACUUGACUCUUUGGCUCUGUAAACACUUUCCUGAUCAGUUCAUGGUCUCAGUUGCUGUCAAGUCUGUUUGUACUAGCCUGGCUCCUAUUAGUUGCAGAAAAGGCUGGUAACGCUCUACCUCACCAACCUCCCGGAUCUGUUUUUCUCUUCAGUUUUGUAGGCAGUGCUGAAACACCAGUCUAAGUCCACUUUUUUUUCUUUUACCCAUCAAGGUGUUUGAAAGAAUUUAAUAGUUUGCUCCUCCAUCUUCCCAACGCCCACUGCCCCCUCAAGUCUAAACAGCCCUAAAACCUCGUCUGAUGUUAUUAAAUCAACACGAAGCACUCGGAUGGCCUUGACUCACUGUUGAAUUACAAAAAAUAAAUAGUAAUGCAGUUUAAAAAAAAAAAAAAACGUUUAAGCCCUUAAUUUUGGCCUCUAAAGCACACAUAGCAUGCAAAAUGAAAAGAACUGCCAAAUCAUGCAGAUGGUUUAAUCCCAGCCUCAUAACAUUGGAUUUAUUCCCCAUUGAAUUUAAGCCCUCGCUGCAUUUGAAGAUAAAACAGUCAUUUGUCAAAUGCCGCCAAAGAAAAUUCUCGUCAAAACGGGAGCACAUAAUGGCCGUGUCCUGCUGUCUGUCUGCUUAUUUAUGGCAGACUGAUUAAUUGAUUGUUAUAGGCUAACAAACAAACAACACUGAUUACAUUAACUGACCACAGUUUUGUCUUUUAGCGCAGGCUCUAAUAGAGUGCUGAAGUGAUUAGUAGUUGGGCUGCUCUGCUGCUGAAUUAGUAAUGUUAAUGGGAGUAAUGAGACACGGAAGCGCACGCUGAGUCGGUGCACGAGCAGAGUCGCUCUUUGUGUGUUAAUUGUCGUCUUUCUUGCCGUUCCGCUUUUGCUUUUCUUGCACGGGGAACAAACAGAAAAGCCCGCAUUUGACAGCGAAACCUGCCAUUUUCGGUCCCUCCAAACAAACCUCGAGGGCUCGUUUUGAGGUUUAGCUCCGGCUGCCCUCUCGCACAACACAGCUUCAGCGGCUCAUUUCGUGGAAGACAAUGGGGAAAUUCAGCGGGAGGACGUCAGUGAAAAUUCAACCAUCUGGACAUUCUCGCAUACUGGUGGGAGGGUGAUGAUUUAUUUUCAGCAACCUCUCGAGCUGAAUAAGAGACGCCUACCGCUUGAAAAUCCGCAGAGAGGAAGAGAUAUGAGAGCGGCUUUUGUGAGCAACAAAUCCCUGAAUUAAGAGCCAUCUGAAAGGAAAACACCAUCCAAGCUCUUAAUUACAAGUCAAAGAAGAGGAACACACUGUAUAUAGCUGCCCACGGGCAAAGGUCCCACACAUACCUUUUUUUAAAUCACUUUGAUUGUUUCGGCAGCUUAGAAAGCAGAUUAAAAGUUAAUGGAUGAUUAAGA